GUAAAUUCGGGCCGGCAGGCGAGUGAAGAAGAAGGAUGCAAGCGAUAUCCGGAUUCAGUGGGUGUAAAGGGAGCGUAGUCGGACGUAUAAGUCAGUGGUGAAAUCUCGCAGCUGAACUGCGAAACUGCCAUUGAUACUGUAGGUCUUGAGUACAGUUGCCGUUGGCGGAAUAUGACAUGUAGUGGUGAAAUACUUAGAUAUGUCAUAGAACACCGAUUGCGAAGGCAGCUAACGAAGCUGUAACUGACGCUGAGGCUCGAAAGUGCGGGGAUCAAACAGGAUUAGAUACCCCAGUAGUC
rnacentral:rRNA from 1 species